AGGAAAUACCCGACACAGUAAUGGGACCAUUGACAGCUGGGAUCCCCACUGGUCACUGGAACAAUAAGAAUGAAGACUUUCUCCCACAGCAAAAUGCCAAGGAAGAAACAUCACAUGACAGCCUGAAUAGAGUGCCCUAGACCAGCACAGAUCUGGAAAAUGAGAAGAAGUUAUAGACAAACUGCAUGAAACUGGACCUCUGGGCAAUAUACAGGAAGAGAAGACGGGAGAAGAUGCGACCUUGGAAGCAAAGAACAGGCACUCCACAGAGGCCAAACCUGGUGACACCUAGGCUUUGAACUGUCCAGCCUCCAGGCCUUUGAGGAAAAAAAUAAUUUCUGUUCAAAUAAAAUUAAACAUAUCAUUUCUGGAGGUUUUGUGACAGCAGACUGAGACAUACAUCAGAGCCAUUCAGUGGUGGAAAGAACAGUGCUCUCAACAGAUGGUCCUGGGACACUGCAGAGAGACUGGUUGAGACAUUACUGCUGCAGACUGAGUGACGUCCCCCACUCCUAUGCUGGAGUUUUAACUCUCAACAAAGUGGAAUUAGGAAGGGUUUGAGAGAUAAUUAGUUUUAGAUGAGAUUGUGAGAGAGCCACAUUAAUGAAAGUAGUGUCUUUAUAUGGUAAGGGAUAGAGAUCAGAGCUAUCUCUAGUCCUCUUCUCCCCUUCCCUCCUCUCUCCUUUUUUCUUCUCUCCUCUCUCUCCCCCUCUUCCUCUCCUUCCCCCUUCUCUGUGUUCCUCUCUGUGUGUUUCUCUCCUUUUCUUCCUGUGUACAAAGAAGAGCUUGUGUCAGCAUAUAGUAAGACAGUGACUGUCCAUAAGCCAGCAAGAGGAACUUCACUAAGAAAUGAAUCUGCCAAUACCUUGGUCUUGCAUUUUCUGCCUCCACAACUAUGAG
ensembl:lncRNA